rnacentral:lncRNA from 1 species
UUUUUUUUGUGAUAUCAUUAAUAUUCAAGGAGGGGAAUCAUUAGAAGAUUGACAUCAAAAAUUAUGUUUGUUUAUUGAAUUGUUGCAAGGUGUUGAUGUUUUCUACCUUCUCUGUCUUGUCUCUUUAAACCUGCAGGAUCAUACAAAGGAACAUGAAUAGCACAAUUUGCCUCCAGAACUUUUAAUUAUUAAUGAUGCUCUAUGACUAAAUUGGAAAUCUGCUACUGUACCCCAAGGGGUGAUUAAUUUAGCAGACUAGGAGUUUUGAUUAAAAGGGAAUGAAAUGUCUGACACAUAGUCUAUUUAUCAGUUAUUAUGAUAUUAAAACACUCUAAUCAUUGUGGUGCCUAAAUUAAGGCUUCACAGCCUAAAUGUCACUUCAUAGUGUUCUUUUAGAUCUGUCUGUGUGAUACAAGUUUAUUAUCAGUGGGUGCGUGAGAAUAUAAGUGUAUGUAGUGAUCUUUGAUAAGAACUAAGCAGUCUGGUAUGAUUUCUGCUGUUUGCUCCUUUCUCAUUUAAAGAUGACAUGAGAGAAUAUUUUAUAGAUGUGAUUUGUACAAGCAAUGGAUGCAGGACAAGAUGAAGUUAUCCCUGAUGUCCCUAAGGAUUAUGACACAAACUUUGUAAAACUGGACUAAGCCUAAAGGACACAGAAAAACCUCUAAGGAUUUGUAAGGAUUUAAGUCUAAACCAGUUCCUUACAGAAGCCACAUGUGCUCUGAGAUAUCACAUUCUCUGAGAGGUGAAAUCCAUGUCCUUAAAUUAAAAGUCGGGGCAGAAUUCGGCAGUGAUCUGCCAAGAAUGGUAAUCGACAGUCAGUGCUAAGUGUGUCAUUGAAGUCAUUUGCAGACAAGGAGGAGGUGGGAGCAGUAGAUCCUGUGUUUCUAUGUAGGUGCCCAAGAAAUAGCUUCAAGCCACAGUAUUGACACACCAGCCUUGCAAGCUCAGACAGGGAGGAGGGAGGGCCAAGGAGCACAGUGUAAGGAAAGACAGUCAAGUACUGGUGGAGGAGUGGUGCUUUGUGUUCAUGAAGGCUUUGAACCAAAUCACAUCCCUAAACAGGCCAUGUCAGCAACUCAGGUAUAAGUUUUAGGCCUCAAUAGGAAAAAUGCUACAUUAGGAUUAAAUUAUCCAUUAAUUUGAGAAAACAAACAAAAAAACCACAAAGAAACUGAAACAGCUGAACGGCAGGUAAAACAUACUAAAAGCAGGAAAGCAUUUUUCAAGUAGCUGGGGCUUGACCAUGGAGGAAAGUAGAUAGGCUCAUAAACCCAGGCAUUUUAUAGAGGAAAAUGCAAUAAGAAAGGCCAGAAGAGUUGAGGAGACUUACAGAAAUCACAAAAAAAAAACCCCCAAAAAACCCUAAAGUCCUGUGUCAAACAUGUGAAGCAGGAAGCUUGCUGGAGUCUGUAAGCUCAGUAAAAAAUAAACAUGCAGAAAGAGUGUUCAGAAAAACUUCUUUCUGUGGGAAGGCAGUUCCCACAGAAGAAUUCCUCUCCUAUCAGAUGUCAGGGAUGAAAUAGUUCAUGUGGUAACUAUACCAUCUAUACUAUACCAGCUUGAGUUCUGGUACCAGAGGGUAAGCACCAGUGUAACACAAUUUUUUAAACUGUUUCCUGAGAGAAUCCCAUAAUAAAUACAUGGAUAGAAGCUCAAAUAAUAACAGAAUAAUAAAAGAAGGAAUGGGGGCAUCAAUAAAUAUCAUGGUGGCAAAAAGCCCGACAGGGUCUUGAGAUUAAAAGUCAUGAUUUACUGAUCAGUUGGGUAGCACUGGGGGAGUGAAUGUGUGGGCAGGGCAGCACUCCUACCCCUUUCCUCAGGUUAGCCUGGGCACAGAUCCAGGAGUUGAGCUUGCUUUGAUCUCCAAACUGUCUUGCAGUGCAUUGAUGUAUCUCCCAAUCUAAAGACAGGCACAGAAGUGAGUACCUUCCAGAAAAAAACAAACAAACAAACAAACAAACAAAACCCCCAGAACUGUAAAUAAUCAUCAUUUGGAGCUGCCUGGAGAUUAGGAUGUGUUUUUAAGAGAACCAGGAUGUGAAAUAGAAGUGGGGUAACUACAGGGGAUAAAACCAGGCACUAAGAGACAUGUUAUCAGAGAAAACAGCAUUUUGCAAACAAUGCUUUUAAAGACACGAGAGAUCAAGGGGAACGUGCCCUAUGAAUUAGUGGCAGAUAUAGUAAAAGGAAUUCUCAUCAGUCUGCUUUUAGGAUUCAUUCUUCCCUUAACUGAAAACUAAAGGACAUCUGUGUGAGUGCGAGAUCUUAAGCACAGGGUUUGUUUGUAAAGAAAACAAGCAGAAAGCUGGCAGAACAUAAACCCUUCCUCAAAAAAGGAAUGGAAUCCAAGCCCCAGAAAGCGCCCAGCACAAGUGGGAAGGGCAGCACUUGCCUCCCCUCCGCUGGUGCAGGCUGGCUUGCUGCCCGCUGCUGGAGCUGCUGCAGGUGAGAUGUGUGAGAGGCAGCCUGGAUGCUCUGCUCCCUCCCUCCCCGUCCCCCGGGCCUCAGCAGCUGUUUGCGGCUGCACCAGAAUAACGAGGACAUCGCUCUGGAUGUGACACUGCCUCAGCUGGGUCUUUAGGAAAGCUCUCUAGAGCUAUUCUCCCGAGUCCUGCAAUAAUCUGCAGCCUGAGUAGACAGUGCCGUUUGGCUCAGCAUUUUCCUCUCUUUUAUUUGCCUGUUGAGGGAAAAUAUUGCCACUACUUCUGUGGUUUAAAAUGAUGGAAAGCAGUAACAAGGGGCCAACAUUCCCUGUCAGGAUAAGGGUGAGGAAAAUUAUGCAGACAACAAGUAGCUUUACAUCACCUACUCCUAUUUAGUUAUGCCAAAUCCAAAUGACAUCACUGGAGUAUGCCCUGCAGAGGAUUCCUGGUGUGAAUAUUGCCAGGUCAGCAGCCAGAUCAUUGGACAGUGACUCCUACGCUGUCCCACUCCUGUUGGGACAGUUUAAAUUCUCUGUGACUGCUGCUGUUAUCCCUGCCCCUCUGCUGGGGUUUGUGUAGAGAGAUUUUGUUGGUGGUGUCUCAGCUACUGGUCUUGCAGUCUUAAUGGUAACUUAAACCACCAGGGAUGGUGAUGUUGAGCCUCUGACCACAGGAGACCAGGCCUUUUUCCCUGUGCAUAGCACAGAACUUUUAAGUGAGCAUCUUUGGUCUGUAGCAUCCUGGGAAUCUGAUCAGAGGAUUGAGAUGGUCCCAUUUGUUGAUAAAAUUAAUGCCAUUUAUCUUGUACAAUGAGUUUCCAUUCUUUUCAGAGGGAUUUUGCACAGAAGCCUGAGACAGUGUGUGAGUGAGGCAGAAAAGUGCUCAACCUGAUGGAAGCCUGGGGUUAGCCAACACAUGGAAAUAGAAGGAGUUUCUACAUUUCUGUGAGAACACUGAAUUUUAUGUGAUCUUUUUCAAUAUCUUCAAUUCAUUGUUCUGGGUGUUGAUUUAGUGACCUGGAGCUUUCCGAGGUGGAAAUUGUUAGAGAGAAAAAACCUAUCCAUGAGUUAGUGAUAGAAAUAUUGCUAGCCUUUUAUCUGCUUUCCUGCUUUGAUUUCUCUAGAGCUUACCUGAGCUGUCUGUCAUACAAAGAACAUUUUUAUACCUGUGCCAAUAAGCAGUGGAGUGCUCAUGAAGGGCACAGCACAGUGGCAGUCUGUGAGGGAUACAGUGAAAGGCUUUCAUUUAACACCACCGUACAUGGCAAACCCAAUUUUCAGCUGUAUGUAUCAGCAUGGCAAGUCUUCUUGCUCCCAGUCAGCAUGCUACAGGGUAAUUCAGAAUAUAGCUUAUUGCAGGUUUUGGUUUCUCUUCCAAGAUUCAUUCCUUUUCAUCCCUUUCUGUGCCAAGUAUAAUAAACAGAACAGGAGCUGAAGGCAGUUUGGCUGGGGAAACAACAUUCAAUAAUUUAAAAAAGAAAAACCUAACAACAAAAACCAACCCUGCAGAAAACAAAACAGAACAAAAAGGCUGGUCAGUAAAAGAGGUAGAAAGACACCUUUGUGGACAGAGGAAGGGGGAAAGAAGAAAAAGGAAAAGACACAUCUGAGCUGUUCCUCCUGCCCUUCUCAACCAGCCUGAAUGGAGACUGAAUAACAAAGUACAGAGAUCUCACCUUUUCUAUCCAGACAGGCCAAGCUUUUCUAGUGCCCCCUUAUUACUGUCAACCUGUUGAAACCAGAAUGGCUGAUAGCAGAGGAUUCCUGGAUAGCCCUUUUCCCGAGAAGUGAGGACACCAGCUAGGUGGGAGGUUAGAGUACACGUGAAUGCUCUGGUCUCAAGUGUCUUUAUGAAAAUUAAUAUUGGCAUUUGGCCCUUAAUACCUUAAGCAGCCUGGAGAGAACUCUAGAGAGCUGGAGCAUGUUGGGGGGAAAAUGGGAAAAAAGAUCAAGACAAUUAAAGAAAGGCACACUGGUUCUGCUUUCUUUGUAUGCUUAAAUCUUUUGAGUACAUAGAAGGAGCUCUUAAAAUGCUGCAGUUCUAUCAUCUCCUUCCCUAGUGUUGAGUGUAAAGAAUCUCAUAACUGCCAUACUCCUUUUGACAUGGGGAGGAUCAUCACUGGAAUUGAACCCAAAUGCUAGCUAUUACACAUGAGCCUAAAUGUUAACUAUUGCAGAUGAGCAUUGCUAUAACAAAUUAUCCUGCAUCUUCUUAUAGUGAUAUUCUCAUCUGUGCUUUUCUGGGCAUUAUGAAGUAAGAGAAUUACAUAGAUAAACUGUGGAGCUGAUGAACUUUAGCGAGUCCUGUGUUUCCAUGUUAUAUCUGGACUACUGUGGUUUGGUACUACUCCGCAGAAAGGUUUAAAUAGUGUUUGGUGCCUGGCUAAGGACCUGGCUUUACUUCCUAAUACCUGUUGGCAGUUUCCUGUGGGAAUCUGGACGGUGCACUGGAAUCACUCAGAGUGCUGAAGGCUCCUGCUAGGCCAGUUGGUUGUGAUAAUCUGCUGCCUGUGACCUCAUUAAAGCAGCCUGAUUGGGGCUGCUAAUCACAUAAAUAAAGAAUUAAAUCAUAGCAUUAACCUUCUACAGGGAAACCUGCCCUGGCAACACUGACAGAAUUAGAUCUAUUAAUUAUUUAGAGGGUCAUUUGAUAGAAAUGUAUAUAGAUGGUAGAUUAUGAGCACUUGAAGCAAUAAGUUAACGACAAAUUUUUGCUCUGAUAAGAAUCUUUUCAUAUUUUCUUCUUAAUGCCCCAAACUAAAAGCUAUCUUGCAUAUUUUUUUACUAGGACUGUAUAAUCACAUACCAUUUAUUGUAUGUGUAUCAACUAAAAAUACUAUGCCCCAACAUCAAGGAUUUUUGUGCUCCUUUUGGCUCUUGAGGCUCCUUUUUUAUUAAAAAUUCUUCCUGUGCAAACAGUUUCCAUAGCUAAAUUCAGGGAAAAUUUCACAUUUACUAUAAUGCUUGGAGCUUCUUUGGUGGCCAGGGUGUUCAGAGGAGCUGAGGACAGUUCAGAGGACAUUUCCUGUCCACUCCUGAACUAAAAGUCAGUGUGCAGGAAAUCUGUCUCACCAGUGCUGUGGACUAACAGGAAGCUUUCUGCAGCGGUCCUCUACUGUCACCCAUGGAGGUGUUAAAUUCCAUUAAGUGUCUAGCAGAUUUUUGCUUCUUUCUCUGAAUUUCUUGGGGGAAAAAAUGCUAUUGAAUCAGAUGGGAUGAUGAGUUCAUUGUUUUACUGAUUCUACUGGGCUUGCAGGAAUGACAAUGGUACUAGAUAGGCUUGUUUACUGACCAGAAUUUGAAUGAAUAUUUGCAGGAAACACACAAAAGAUUUGGGCAUGUGGAGUGGAGGAGGGUGGGGAGACUGGAGGGAAAUCUGUCAUUAUUUAUGGAAAUAUCCAGUAUUCAUGGAGCCAUCUGCUGUGAAUGAUUCAAGUCUGAGAAGUGUCAUAAAAUGAGAAAGCAUAAUGUAGAAAGAAAUAAAAAAACUCGACCUGAAAAAAACCUUUAAAUUUAUAUCACUCAGAAACCUGAACCAGGGAAUAUAUAACCUCAGACCCUCUCAUUCUAAAGAUGCUUUGUAAAUUUUCCUGCCAGAUCGAGAGAUAAAGAUAGAUUAUAUUUCUCAGGUUCCUUUCCUCACCCUUUCUUGGAACAAUUAAUUCCAUUUGUUCAUUUCCAGCCCCUUAAUUAUUGAUCACUUCGUUUCCUUUUUUUCUUUCUCACUGUUCCGGGCUACAAGGCAAGGGAUGAUGUUAAAAAAAAAAAAAAAAAAAA